rnacentral:rRNA from 1 species
ACUAAGCGUACACGGUGGAUGCCCUGGCAGUCAGAGGCGAUGAAGGACGUGCUAAUCUGCGAUAAGCGUCGGUAAGGUGAUAUGAACCGUUAUAACCGGCGAUUUCCGAAUGGGGAAACCCAGUGUGUUUCGACACACUAUCAUUAACUGAAUCCAUAGGUUAAUGAGGCGAACCGGGGGAACUGAAACAUCUAAGUACCCCGAGGAAAAGAAAUCAACCGAGAUUCCCCCAGUAGCGGCGAGCGAACGGGGAG